rnacentral:rRNA from 1 species
UACGAAGGGGGCUAGGCGUUGCUCGGAAUCACUGGGCGUAAAGGGCGCGUAGGCGGCGUUUUAAGUCGGGGGUGGAAAGCCUGUGGCUCAACCACAGAAUGGCCUUCGAUACUGGGACGCUUGAGUAUGGUAGAGGUUGGUGGAACUGCGAGUGUAGAGGUGAAAUUCGUAGAUAUUCGCAAGAACACCGGUGGCGAAGGCGGCCAACUGGACCAUUACUGACGCUGAGGCGCGAAAGCGUGGGGAGCAAACAGG